rnacentral:rRNA from 2 species
ACUGAUUGAUGGUGCUUGCACCUGAUUGACGAUGGAUCACCAGUGAGUGGCGGACGGGUGAGUAACACGUAGGUAACCUGCCCCGGAGCGGGGGAUAACAUUUGGAAACAGAUGCUAAUACCGCAUAACAACAAAAGCCACAUGGCUUUUGUUUGAAAGAUGGCUUUGGCUAUCACUCUGGGAUGGACCUGCGGUGCAUUAGCUAGUUGGUAAGGUAACGGCUUACCAAGGCGAUGAUGCAUAGCCGAGUUGAGAGACUGAUCGGCCACAAUGGAACUGAGACACGGUCCAUACUCCUACGGGAGGCAGCAGUAGGGAAUCUUCCACAAUGGGCGCAAGCCUGAUGGAGCAACACCGCGUGAGUGAAGAAGGGUUUCGGCUCGUAAAGCUCUGUUGUUGGAGAAGAACGUGCGUGAGAGUAACUGUUCACGCAGUGACGGUAUCCA